AGAAUUAGUUUUUCUCAUAAUGAAAUCUGCAGUGGAAGAACAACUUAACCUAAUAACAUCAGGUUCUAUUACUACAGAAUCAAGUAACGCUCGCGUAAACGUAGUAUAAGUUAGAUUACCGGUUUCUUACAAAAUAUGUGAUUUCUGCCCAGUGCUCUGAAUGUUAUGUGAUUUUUGCCCAGUGCUAUGAAUGUCAUCUAGUCAUAUACAUAUCAAGAAUUUUCGAUGGGCUUCUUCAGAAGAUAGGAUACGAAGAAAAUCCUAUAACGGCAGGGAGCUGAUGUCGAGGAGAUUUUCCUGUUUACGCGAAGAAAUUAUCACGUGAUAGAACACAAUAAAGCUCACUUUCAAAAGUCCGUCACCUUUGGAUCUUUGCUGUGGAACUCAUUGCCGUCUAUGCAUUGGAUAUCUACUAUUGGAAAGAGACACUCGCAUUCUGCCUGUAUAUACGAUAACUCCAUGUACGUCUGGUGGCUGCACAGCUACAUGGACGACGUUCAAUGAUUUAUGGCAGCUGGAUUUGGGCACGAGGACAUGGGUCAGGCAGAUCACCAUGGGCAACUAUCCAUCGCCUAAAAAGCUUGUGCUACUAUGCUUUAUUAUAAGAAAAGUUUGAUUUUGUUCGGAGGCUGGUCUCAUCCGUUGCAUUAGCAUAAAUAGAUGGCACUGAGCGUUCUCCAGGUCACAUUCGCAAAAUGCACACGCUUCAUCACAAGCGUCCAGUAUUCCAAAAACAAUAUCAUUUUACAGUGAUAAUACUCUGAGCAUGGCCGCAUUUCGCGAUCAACCUCUGCGUGGUAAUUUGAACACGAAAUACGAAUAGACAACGUCAAUUAAAAUCACUAAGGAGGAUGGAAGAGAAAAUUUGAAAUAAGAAGACACAGCUGACGAAAGUAUCCAAAAAAGCUGAGAACACAUUGUCGAUAUUUGUAUUGGAUAUUACCAAUGUUCUUUCGGAUGACUGCAACUCUUUGUGGAUUCCCUUAAAGCAAAACGAUCAUUCGGAGCCUGAUGAGAGAAUUCUGUAUUCUCUUGUAGUGAGAAGGGGAGAACUGAUAGUUUUUGGAGGUAUUCGUAAAGAACAUACAACAUUAGGCCCCACCGAAGUAGACGAUUCUGUAGUGUAUAAUGAUCUCCAUUUUAUAAAUCCACCUCGAUAUGUUAUUUAAUAUUGAAAAGGAAUUUAAAAAAUAGUAUAU